UGGGGAAUUUUGGACAAUGGGGGAAACCCUGAUCCAGCCAUCCCGCGUGUGCGAUGAAGGCCUUCGGGUUGUAAAGCACUUUUGGCAGGAAAGAAACGUCAUGGGUUAAUACCCCGUGAAACUGACGGUACCUGCAGAAUAAGCACCGGCUAACUACGUGCCAGCAGCCGCGGUAAUACGCAGGGUGCAAGCGUUAAUCGGAAUUACUGGGCGUAAAGCGUGCGCAGGCGGUUCGGAAAGAAAGAUGUGAAAUCCCAGAGCUCAACUUUGGAACUGCAUUUUUAACUACCGGGCUAGAGUGUGUCAGAGGGAGGUGGAAUUCCGCGUGUAGCAGUGAAAUGCGUAGAUAUGCGGAGGAACACCGAUGGCGAAGGCAGCCUCCUGGGAUAACACUGACGCUCAUGCACGAAAGCGUGGGGAGCAAACAGG
rnacentral:rRNA from 1 species